rnacentral:rRNA from 1 species
UACAGAGGGUGCAAACGUUGCUCGGAAUUAUUGGGCGUAAAGCGCGUGCAGGCGGCCUGUUAAGUUGACUGUGAAAGCCCUUGGCUUAACCAAGGAAGUGCAGUCAAAACUGGCAGGCUUGAGUCCCGAAGAGGGUGGCGGAAUGCCAAGUGUAGAGGUGAAAUUCGUAGAUAUUUGGUAGAACACCAGUGGCGAAGGCGGCCACCUGGGAGGGUACUGACGCUGAGACGCGAAAGCGUGGGGAGCAAACAGG